rnacentral:rRNA from 1 species
AUCUACGGCCAUAGAAUCCAGAAAGCCACGGGUCCCGUCUGCUCCCGCAGUUAAGUUGGAUAUCGCUCGGUUAGUACCAAGGUGGGGGACCACUUGGGAAUCCCGGGUGCUGUAGUUU